rnacentral:rRNA from 1 species
UUAACACAUGCAAGUCGAACGGUGAAGCCCCGCUUGCGGGGUGGAUCAGUGGCGAACGGGUGAGUAACACGUGAGCAACCUGCCCCUGACUCUGGGAUAAGCGCUGGAAACGGCGUCUAAUACUGGAUACGAGACGUGAUCGCAUGGUCAACGUUUGGAAAGAUUUUUCGGUUGGGGAUGGGCUCGCGGCCUAUCAGCUUGUUGGUGAGGUAAUGGCUCACCAAGGCGUCGACGGGUAGCCGGCCUGAGAGGGUGACCGGCCACACUGGGACUGAGACACGGCCCAGACUCCUACGGGAGGCAGCAGUGGGGAAUAUUGCACAAUGGGCGCAAGCCUGAUGCAGCAACGCCGCGUGAGGGAUGACGGCCUUCGGGUUGUAAACCUCUUUUAGCAGGGAAGAAGCGAGAGUGACGGUACCUGCAGAAAAAGCACCGGCUAACUACGUGCCAGCAGCCGCGGUAAUACGUAGGGUGCAAGCGUUAUCCGGAAUUAUUGGGCGUAAAGAGCUCGUAGGCGGUUUGUCGCGUCUGCUGUGAAAUCUGGGGGCUCAACCCCCAGCCUGCAGUGGGUACGGGCAGACUAGAGUGCGGUAGGGGAGAUUGGAAUUCCUGGUGUAGCGGUGGAAUGCGCAGAUAUCAGGAGGAACACCGAUGGCGAAGGCAGAUCUCUGGGCCGUAACUGACGCUGAGGAGCGAAAGGGUGGGGAGCAAACAGGCUUAGAUACCCUGGUAGUCCACCCCGUAAACGUUGGGAACUAGUUGUGGGGUCCAUUCCACGGAUUCCGUGACGCAGCUAACGCAUUAAGUUCCCCGCCUGGGGAGUACGGCCGCAAGGCUAAAACUCAAAGGAAUUGACGGGGACCCGCACAAGCGGCGGAGCAUGCGGAUUAAUUCGAUGCAACGCGAAGAACCUUACCAAGGCUUGACAUAUACGAGAACGGGCCAGAAAUGGUCAACUCUUUGGACACUCGUAAACAGGUGGUGCAUGGUUGUCGUCAGCUCGUGUCGUGAGAUGUUGGGUUAAGUCCCGCAACGAGCGCAACCCUCGUUCUAUGUUGCCAGCACGUAAUGGUGGGAACUCAUGGGAUACUGCCGGGGUCAACUCGGAGGAAGGUGGGGAUGACGUCAAAUCAUCAUGCCCCUUAUGUCUUGGGCUUCACGCAUGCUACAAUGGCCGGUACAAUGGGCUGCAAUACCGUGAGGUGGAGCGAAUCCCAAAAAGCCGGUCCCAGUUCGGAUUGAGGUCUGCAACUCGACCUCAUGAAGUCGGAGUCGCUAGUAAUCGCAGAUCAGCAACGCUGCGGUGAAUACGUUCCCGGGUCUUGUACACACCGCCCGUCAAGUCAUGAAAGUCGGUAACACCUGAAGCCGGUGGCCUAACCCUUCGGGGAGGGAGCUGUCGAAGGUGGA